rnacentral:rRNA from 1 species
UACGGGGGGGGCAAGCGUUGUUCGGAAUUACUGGGCGUAAAGGGCGUGUAGGCGGCUUUCUAAGUCGAACGUGAAAUCCCCGGGCUCAACCCGGGAACUGCGUCCGAUACUGGAAGGCUUGAAUCCGGGAGAGGGAUGCGGAAUUCCAGGUGUAGCGGUGAAAUGCGUAGAUAUCUGGAGGAACACCGGUGGCGAAGGCGGCAUCCUGGACCGGCAUUGACGCUGAGGCGCGAAAGCCAGGGGAGCAAACGGG